ensembl:lncRNA
AUUCCGCUUUACCGUAGAAAAAUGGCGGACUCUGUGGUAGAGGACCCGCUCCCUACACUAAGGGCUCAUUAUAAACUAACGAAAACACAACAAUUCGACGUUACAGUAGACUUUCAGGACUUGGACGGCAAUCCUACAUCUCUCGUUAACCUUCAAACCGACCUCAUGGACUCCGACAGCAAUGGGGAAAACUACAUGCUUGCUUCAGUCCCUUUAAGACAUAUGGUUGAAUCCUGGGGGAAGCCGGACACUGGAGUAACAUUUAAAACCGAAAAUGCCGAAGUGGAGAGCUUCACUCCAGCUGCCCCCAGCAGACCUGCUACUGAUGAGGAGCAUGUUCCUUACUUAACGGAGUCCCAGAUGAUGGACCGCAUUCGCCAACAACGCUUCACACAAGACGAGUUGGAUGUCCUGGUGCGGGAGAUCCAGGCCCGCUACCACAGAAUCUACGGCAAAGGGCUGCCGUUCGCCGAGAUCCGACAGGCGUGGGAGGAGGUGGCGGCAGCGGUCAACAACGCUGGCUUUGGCCCCACCAGGACCGCCAGCGGCUGCCAGAGACGCUUCAGAGACCUAAAGCGGCGUGCCAAGAUGAAGCUGGUCAACAGAGCUAGCACAAAGCCAUCACAAAGAGCAGAGAAUGGACCUGCAGGAAAGGACACUCAGUCAUGCAGCGAAACAGCUACACCUGCAACCUCACCUUCUGAGAGACCUGUAGCUGGAACAGCGGAUGGUGGAAACGGUGGAGCAUCUCUCCACCCCUUUGCUCUCUUUAACACCAUGGAUGUUCCCAGUCAAGACCCCUUGGGUACCGUGGGUGGGCCCAGUCAAGACCCCUCGAGUACCGUGGGUGUCCCCAGCCAGUCUCGGGAGCCCCUGGAGGUCCGCCAGAGGAGCCUGGAGAUGCUGCAGAGGGAGUUUAAACCCCAGAGCCGAAACCACUUCACGAAGGAGCAGAUGGACAUCCUCCUGCGCGAGAUCAAGGCCCGCUACCACAGGCUUUUCGGUGACAGACAGCACCCUCCGCGGUUCUCGGAUCGGCGGCAGGCGUGGGAAGAGGUGGCAGCCGCCAUCAACCGUGCUCGCUGCGGCCCCACCAAGUCUGCCAGCGCCUGCUGCAAACGCCUCAGCGACCUGAAACGGCGGCGCAAGAUGAGAAUGGGCAAACACAUCGUGUCUAUGUGUCAGGAGGGGCCUAUUAUUACAGCCGCAUUCUCCCACGCGAGCCCCAUGGGAAUGAACAUCCUCCCAUCAGUGAGUAUGCAGCUACUGCAAAGCCCAGAGAACGCACCCACAGACGCAGCUGAACCCGAACCAGCCACCACACCAACACCUGCACCAGCUCCGCCGCCCACACAAAAACCUGCACCGUUUCCUGCAUUAGCAAAUGAAACAGCACCCACACCAACACCUGCACCAGCAACUGCACCCGCACCAACACUCACAACAACACCCGCACCCACUCGAGCACCAAUACUGACACCCAUACCAACACUCACACAUAUACCAACACUCGAACCCAUACUAACACUUGCUCUUGCACCGGCACCAACAUUCGCACCAACACUUACACUCCCACUCACACUCCCAUCAACAGUCACACAAACUGCACCAGAUCCUACCCCAGCCACCACACCCACCCUUGCACCCUCGCCAGCUGCUCCAGUACUCACACCUGUACCAACACUCACACCUGUACCAACACUAGAACCAACACUUACACGCACACCAACACCAUCUGAGAGUCCUGUAGCUGGAGCAAACAGCGGGACCGCCGGAGUUUCAGUCAGUCCCCCAGCAGCCUCGAGCACCACGGGUGCUCCGUGUCCGUCGCGGAGGCGGUGGGAGCAGGAGCUGCUGGAGGUGCAGCGCGAGGGUCUGGAGGUGCUGCAGAGGGAGGUGGGAGCUCUGCGCCGUGGCCUGGACACGCGCCUCCGCAGGAUGGAGAGCCGCACGUACCCCCUCCUGCUCUCCAUCAGCCGCAGCCUGGAGAGGAUAGCCAACGCCACGGAGCGCAACUCCACCCCUGAUGCCACCACUCCACUGCACACCGACACGCCCCCCAGGACACCAAGGGGCAGAGCUGUGGUGGAACGACCGGCCACCAGCCAAACCCGUGCUUCUUCAAAGGGGCGAGCAGCCGGGACCUGCAAACGCAAAAGAGGGAGACGCGCCUAACAAUACGACCCACCGAGACAUAAAACUUGAAACACCUUUGGCUUUCAUGACAAUUGCCACAUGACAGCAGCUCAAUAAGGCUCCUGUACUGCUCCACCGAGAAAGCUGACCUAAUGUACUUCUGUGAUAUCGUAAUUAGGCUAGCUUAUCGAGUUUUCCUCCAUUAACUUCAAAACAUUUCUGAACUAUUCACAUUGCAAAAUAACUGCAUAUUUAAAAAUAAAAAAAAAUGUAAUUGAUCCCUUUUGGGGUCCAGUACAUGCAGGCCAUGAGUGAAGGAACUUGUUCUGCAAUGAUACAAAGGUAGAACGAAUUCCUAUAGAGUAAAUUCUGCAUUUCAUGAUUUUUACUUUCAUAAUGUUUAUAAUCUUUGUUACAGACCAACAUGAUUUAAUUUCCUAGCUAAUAAAAUCCAGCAUAAUAAACCCUCUCUGUCAAUGCCAAGAUAAUCUGCCCAUCUAGCACAAUCUUGCAUCUUUGAUCAAUAAAAAACACAUCUUUGAUGUGUAAGUGAAGUAAAAGGAAUUGUAGUCAAUUUACUUAACCAAGAGGUCAAAGAUUCACUCAUGCUAUGAGCAGUAGAUAAGGAAAAACAUUUACACAUUGUUAGUGGAAUAAAGACCGGUUACAGAGGUAGAAGGACAUUUAUAUUCCUGUUCUGGGUCAGUGUGAUGGCAGGUUGAACCAGCUGAGUGGGGAGAUUAACAGUCCUUUCAAAUUGGCAUGACGCCAAACUAAACUAAAGGCUUGACUGUGCCUGUCACAGGCCGCAGGGUCUCUGGCUGAUGUGUGUUGUAACCAGUGUAGUAGCACUCGAGUCCAGGACUCAGGUAGUGGUGGAUUUGACGCUGACUCUU